AGCAGCCGCGGUAAUUCCAGCUCCAAUAGCGUAUAUUAAAGUUGUUGCAGUUAAAAAGCUCGUAGUUGAAUUUCGGGGUCAGCAGGUUGGUCGUGCCAAUGGUAUGCACUGGCCUUGCUGAUUCCUCCUUCUUGAUGAGCCGUAAUGCCAUUAAUUUGGUGUUGCGGGGAAUCAGGACUGUUACUUUGAAAAAUUAGAGUGUUUAAAGCAGGCAAGCGCUUGAAUACAUUAGCAUGGAAUAAUGAAAUAGGACGUUCGAUCCUAUUUUGUUGGUUUCUAGGAUUGACGUAAUGAUUAAUAGGGAUAGUUGGGGGCAUUAGUAUUCAAUUGUCAGAGGUGAAAUUCUUGGAUUUAUUGAAGACUAACUACUGCGAAAGCAUUUGCCAAGGAUGUUUUCAUUAAUCAAGAACGAAAGUUAGGGGAUCGAAGACGAUCAGAUACCGUCGUAGU
rnacentral:rRNA from 1 species